rnacentral:rRNA from 1 species
UACGUAGGGUGCGAGCGUUGUCCGGAAUUACUGGGCGUAAAGAGCUCGUAGGUGGUUUGUCGCGUUGUUCGUGAAAACUCACAACUCAAUUGUGGGCGUGCGGGCGAUACGGGCAGACUGGAGUACUGCAGGGGAGACUGGAAUUCCCGGUGUAGCGGUGGAAUGCGCAGAUAUCAGGAGGAACACCGGUGGCGAAGGCGGGUCUCUGGGCCGAUACUGACACUGAGGAGCGAAAGCGUGGGGAGCGAACAGG